AUUGAACGCUGGCGGCAGGCCUAACACAUGCAAGUCGAGCGGAUGAAGGGAGCUUGCUCCUGGCUUCAGCGGCGGACGGGCGAGUAAUGCCUAGGAAUCUGCCUGGUAUUGGGGGAUAACGUCCGGAAACGGGCGCUAAUACCGCAUACGUCCUGAUGGUGAACGUGGGGGAUCUUCGGACCUCACGCUAUCUGAUGAGCCUAGGUCGGAUUAGCUAGUUGGUGGGGUAAAGGCCUACCAAGGCGACGAUCCGUAACUGGUCUGAGAGGCUGAUCAGUCACACUGGAACUGAGACACGGUCCAGACUCCUACGGGAGGCAGCAGUGGGGAAUAUUGGACAAUGGGCGAAAGCCUGAUCCAGCAAUGCCGCGUGUGUGAAGAAGGUCUUCGGAUUGUAAAGCACUUUAAGUUGGGAGGAAGGGCAGUAAGUUAAUACCUGGCUGUUUUGACGUUACCAACAGAAAAAGCACCGGCUAACUUCGUG
rnacentral:rRNA from 1 species